AGUGAACGCUGGCGGUAGGCCUAACACAUGCAAGUCGAACGGCAGCACAGUAAGAGCUUGCUCUUACGGGUGGCGAGUGGCGGACGGGUGAGGAAUACAUCGGAAUCUACUUUUUCGUGGGGGAUAACGUAGGGAAACUUACGCUAAUACCGCAUACGACCUACGGGUGAAAGCAGGGGAUCUUCGGACCUUGCGCGAUUGAAUGAGCCGCUGUCGGAUUAGCUAGUUGGCGGGGUAAAGGCCCACCAAGGCGACGAUCCGUAGCUGGUCGGAGAGGAUGAUCGGCCACACUGGAACUGAGACACGGUCCAGACUCCUACGGGAGGCAGCAGUGGGGAAUAUUGGACAAUGGGCGCAAGCCUGAUCCAGCCAUACCGCGUGGGUGAAGAAGGCCUUCGGGUUGUAAAGCCCUUUUGUUGGGAAAGAAAAGCAGCAGGUUAAUACCCCGCUGUUCUGACGGUACCCAAAGAAUAAGCACCGGCUAACUUCGUG
rnacentral:rRNA from 1 species